UAUGCGUUGUAAACUUCUUUUGUACGGGAAGAAACACUUCGACGUGUCGAAGCUUGACGGUACCGUACGAAUAAGCAUCGGCUAACUCCGUGCCAGCAGCCGCGGUAAUACGGAGGAUGCAAGCGUUAUCCGGAUUUAUUGGGUUUAAAGGGUACGUAGGCGGAAAAUUUAGUCAGUGGUGAAAUCCCGCAGCUUAACUGUGGAACUGUCAUUGAUACUGGUUUUCUUGAAUUUAGUUGAGGUAGGCGGAAUGUGUAAUGUAGCGGUGAAAUGCUUAGAUAUUACACAGAACACCGAUUGCGAAGGCAGCUUACUAAGCUAUGAUUGACGCUGAGGUACGAAAGCGUGGGGAGCGAACAGGAUUAGAUACCCUGGUAGUCCACGCUGUAAACGAUGAUCACUCGUUGUUGGCGAUACAUUGUCAGCGACUGAGCGAAAGCAUUAAGUGAUCCCCUGGGGAGUACGAUCGCAAGAUU
rnacentral:rRNA from 1 species